rnacentral:rRNA from 1 species
GCGACCCCAGGUCAGGCGGGACUACCCGCUGAGUUUAAGCAUAUAAAUAAGCGGAGGAGAAGAAACUUC